AGAGUUUGAUCCUGGCUCAGAUUGAACGCUAGCGGGAUGCUUUACACAUGCAAGUCGAACGGCAGCGCGGACUUCGGUCUGGCGGCGAGUGGCGAACGGGUGAGUAAUGUAUCGGAACGUGCCCAGUAGCGGGGGAUAACUACUCGAAAGAGUAGCUAAUACCGCAUACGCCCUACGGGGGAAAGGGGGGGAUCUUAGGACCUCUCACUAUUGGAGCGGCCGAUAUCGGAUUAGCUAGUUGGUGGGGUAAAGGCUCACCAAGGCGACGAUCCGUAGCUGGUUUGAGAGGACGACCAGCCACACUGGGACUGAGACACGGCCCAGACUCCUACGGGAGGCAGCAGUGGGGAAUUUUGGACAAUGGGGGCAACCCUGAUCCAGCCAUCCCGCGUGUGCGAUGAAGGCCUUCGGGUUGUAAAGCACUUUUGGCAGGAAAGAAAUCGCAUGGAAUAAUACUCUGUGUGGAUGACGGUACCUGCAGAAUAAGCACCGGCUAACUACGUGCCAGCAGCCGCGGUAAUACGUAGGGUGCAAGCGUUAAUCGGAAUUACUGGGCGUAAAGCGUGCGCAGGCGGUUCGAAAAGAAAGAUGUGAAAUCCCAGGGCUUAACCUUGGAACUGCAUUUUU
rnacentral:rRNA from 1 species